GCAAACUUGGUCAUUUAGAGGAAGUAAAAGUCGUAACAAGGUCUCCGUAGGUGAACCUGCGGAGGGAUCAUCAAAGGAAAUUCAUCUUUCUUACUUACAGGGGGGUGCGAGAGGGGGAGAAAAACAACCUCUCUUGCGCUUCUCUAAACAAACAAACAAACAAUCGCAACUAGCACAAAUGGGAGCAGCGAGUAGUGGGAUAGUGUUGUUUGGCUUGGUUUGGUUUGGUUUGAUGGGGGUGGUAGCAGUAGUCAAAAGUGUUUGCCUGAUAAUCAGAUAGACUGAAAUGGGUGAAUUGAGAUGUUAUACAACUUUCAACAACGGAUCUCUUGGCUCUCACAUCGAUGAAGAACGCAGC
rnacentral:misc_RNA from 1 species